GUACCCGCUUUGGCAGCACAUAUACUAAAAUUGGAGCGAUAUAGAGAAGAUUAGCAUGGCCCCUGUGCAAGGAUGACAUGCAAAUUUGUGAAGUGUUCCAUAUUUUU
rnacentral:snRNA from 1 species